GUGGGAGCCCCAGCUUGUGGGAGCUGGACAGGGAAUGUCCGAAUGGCCACACACAGGCGUGGAGGUCUGCGCUCUCCAGCAGCAAACCCAUACUGAGUCUCCUAGCACGGACUAGGUGUAGCACACUUGGAGGCUCAGUGACUAUUUGUGGAGCAGGUGAAUGAAUCCAUGAAGAGAGAAACCAUCUCUAACUUCUCUGCCCAACACAGAAGAAGUGCUAGAGAAAAACACAAAGCUACACAAACAAACAGAUAAGUCACAAUAGGAUUGGGGCAUGACCACAAGGGCAUUCGGCUCUUUCUGAACUGUUUAUCCUUGUGAAAGGAAAUGAUUGGAAACACAU